rnacentral:rRNA from 1 species
AUUGAACGCUGGCGGCAGGCCUAACACAUGCAAGUCGACCGAGUGGCGGACGGGUGAGUAAUGUCUGGGAAACUGCCUGAUGGAGGGGGAUAACUACUGGAAACGGUAGCUAAUACCGACUACCAACAGAUGUGCCCAUAUGGGAUGAGCUUGUUGGUGGGGUAACGGCUCACCAAUGCGACGAUCCCUAUCUGGUCUGAAAGGAUGACCAGCCACACUGGAACUGAGCCACGCUCCAGACUCCUACGGGAGGCAGCAGUGGGAAAUAUUGCACAAUGGGCGCAAGCCUGAUGCAGCCAUGCAGCGUGUAUGAAGAAGGCCUGCGGGUUGUAAAGUACUUUCAGCGGGGAGGCGUUACCCGCAGAAGAAGCACCGGCUAACUCCGUGCCAGCAGCCGCGGUAAUUC